rnacentral:rRNA from 1 species
AGAGGGAAAGAACCCAGACCUACAGCUAAGGUCCCUAAAUUUGUAUUAAGUUGAACUAAGGAGGUUCAGUUGCUUAGACAGCCAGGAUGUUGGCUUGGAAGCAGCCAUUCAUUUAAAGAGUGCGUAACAGCUCACUGGUCGAGCGACAGGGCAUCGAUAAUAAUCGGGCAUCAAACACAGUACCGAAGCUUAGGAUUACAUAGCAAUAUGUACUGGUAGGGGAGCAUUCUAUUCAGCGACGAAGGUGCCUGGUGAUGGGUAUUGGAGCGGAUAGAAAAGCAAAUGUAGGCAUAAGUAACGAUAAGGCAGGAGAGAAACCUGCCCACCGAAAGACUAAGGUUUCCGCGGCAAUGCUAAUCAGCCGCGGGUUAGUCGGGACCUAAGGCGAAGCCGGAGGGCGUAGUCGAUGGACAAUCAGUUAAUAUUCUGAUACUACCUUAUAUAGCGACGGGGUGACGGAGUAGUGAAAGGUCCGCCCGGAGACGGAAUACCGGGUUAAAGGGUGUAGAUAUAGGACUUGCAGGCAAAUCCGCAAGUUUUGUCGAACCUGAUAGUACUACAAUCCUACGGGAGCGUAGAUAGUGACCCUAAUCAGACUUCCAAGAAAAACCUCUAGUAAUGUAUAAGGUACCCGUACCGUAAACCGACACAGGUAGUUGAGGAGAGAAUCCUAAGGUGCUCGAGUGAUUCAUGGCUAAGGAACUAGGCAAAAUGGCCCUGUAACUUCGGGAGAAGGGGCCCCACGUUUCGGCGUGGGCGCAGUGAAAAGGCCCAGGCGACUGUUUAUCAAAAACACAUGGCUUUGCGAAAUUGAAAGAUGAUGUAUAAGGCCUGACACCUGCCCGGUGCUGGAAGGUUAAAAGGAGAUGUUAUCCUCGGAGAAGCAUUGAAUUGAAGCCCCAGUAAACGGCGGCCGUAACAAUA